rnacentral:rRNA from 1 species
UACGGAGGGUGCGAGCGUUGUCCGGAAUCAUUGGGCGUAAAGCGCGUGUAGGCGGCCCGGUAAGUCCGCUGUGAAAGUCCAGGGCUCAACCCUGGGAUGCCGGUGGAUACUGUCGGGCUCGAGUCCGGAAGAGGCGAGUGGAAUUCCUGGUGUAGCGGUGAAAUGCGCAGAUAUCAGGAGGAACACCAAUGGCGAAGGCAGCUCGCUGGGACGUGACUGACGCUGAGACGCGAAAGCGUGGGGAGCAAACAGG